UACGUAGGGUGCGAGCGUUAAUCGGAAUUACUGGGCGUAAAGGGUGCGCAGGCGGUUCUGCAAGUCAGGCGCGAAAGCCCCGGGCUUAACCUGGGAAUGGCGCUUGAAACUACAGGACUGGAGUAUGGCAGAGGGAGGUGGAAUUCCACGUGUAGCGGUGAAAUGCGUAGAGAUGUGGAGGAACACCGAUGGCGAAGGCAGCCUCCUGGGCCAAUACUGACGCUCAUGCACGAAAGCGUGGGGAGCAAACAGG
rnacentral:rRNA from 1 species